GUAUUGAUUGCGUAUCAUCGCAAAAAAAGACACAUUCUAAACUAUGUUCAAAAGGUUUGUGUGAAAAAAAAAAAAAACGUGGGCAUCCCCCUUUCAGAGGACCCCCACGCGGUGAUGCACAAAGGGGUAAAAUGGAUGUGCGAGGGCACUCGGGCGUGCACAACCUUUUUUUGGAAGGCCAGCGACAGCCCUUGUACCUUCGUUGUAUGAUAAUGAUCCUUCCGCAGGUUCACCUACGGAAA
rnacentral:misc_RNA from 1 species